UUUUUUAGUCAUCUUCAAGCAAGGAACUAAUUACCACUCCAUCUUCAUCCAUGAGUAACCAGAGUCCAAUUGUCUAUGCACAAGAUGAAUCCAGCAAUAAUACACCUCCCAUUCCCCAACUUGCAGCUACUGACACCGACAAAGACAAUCUCAUUAAGUCUACAGCAAAACGAAGCAUUCAGUUUACGGAACAUGAUCUGAUGAACAAAAGAAGGUAUCCUGCAGCUACAAAACGUCAUAUUUAGUCAUGGUCUAACUAUUUUGCUUGAUAAAUUAACCAAUUGUUUACAUGGUGCAGUGAA